CCAGCCGUCCAGUAUCGGCGAGUGCACUGCUCAGCUGAGGUGCUUGAAGUAGAUGAAAAACCAGUGGUCCAAGGGUUCAGUGACUCGCUUAUGAGUUUGAGUGGCGCAUUCGGGGGCGCCGUCUCCGGCACCAUUCUCACGCUCUACACCUUCGGCGGCCUCAACGCCGCGGCCUUGAUACCCGUGAUUUUGAUUGUCCUCGCCACCGCGUACUCGAGCAGGUGGAGCAAUGAAAAAUCUCACUCCCGAGAUUUUUAUCGAGAGUGAGAUUUGUGACCCCAGCGGGAUUUGAACCCGCGCUACUGCCGUGAGAGGGCAGCGUCCUAGGCCGCUAAACGAUGGGGCCCUAGUUGCAACCUAGAAAUCAUGCCACAAUCCGCCCCAAUGGGCAAUCUAGCGGCUCAGUAGGGAUAGGCCAGCUGGGUGAAGUUCGACCGAGAACGGGGCCGGUCCAAUGAUCUCGCCAUCGCAGGUCAUUGGGAACCCGUCAUUCUCAAUUCUCACCUUUGAUGCCUUGAAUAUCUCCACCUCCGAAUAGCGAACAUGCUCGCCCUUGUACACCUUGGGACAUAUCUCCAGCAACUUGGGUCUGGAGACCUCAUGCAGUAUGAACACCUCAAGCUCACCAUCGGUGAUUUCGGACUGGGGAGAGAUUUUCAUGCCGCCGCCAAAGUUCUUUACAUUGGCGACGCCGCAGAGCAUUGCCUUGAACACUCGUGAGACACCAUCGGCCUCGAUUCGAUAUUCAAUGGGCUUGAACCUUGGAAGCUCCAAGAACAGGGCGGCGACAUAAGAAUUUGGUCCCUUGGGCCAAACCAGUCGGUUGGCUCUCUCCGCACAGAGCGCAUCAAAGCCAGCGGAAAUAGACCCGAGCGACCAAAACUUUCGGUAGUCAGUCUCCACCCACAUCACAUCAACAUUUCUUGGGCACUCAAGCGCGCCAACAAUGUUCGCAACUGCGGCGGCUGGCAC
rnacentral:tRNA from 1 species